GCCUCUUGCUCAGUGGCAGAGCGCUUGUGUUGUAAACCAGAGGUCGUGGAUUCAAUUCUCACAGGAGGCA